rnacentral:rRNA from 1 species
UACGGGGGGGGCAAGCGUUGUUCGGAAUUACUGGGCGUAAAGGGCUCGUAGGCGGCCAACUAAGUCAGACGUGAAAUCCCCCGGCUUAACCAGGGAACUGCGUCUGAUACUGGAUGGCUUGAGUAUGGGAGAGGGAUGUAGAAUUCCAGGUGUAGCGGUGAAAUGCGUAGAUAUCUGGAGGAAUACCGGUGGCGAAGGCGGCAUCCUGGACCAUUACUGACGCUGAAUCGCGAAAGCUAGGGGAGCAAACGGG